rnacentral:rRNA from 1 species
UCUAGCCCCCCCCCAAAUACCACCACCCCGCCCCAAAAUAAAAUAUUCUAUUAUUUAAGUAAAGACGAUCGAAAACUUUUCAGGAGCUAUAUUAUGUACCGCAAGGGAUGAUGAAAUAAAAUUAAACAAAAAAAGCACAAAAAAGUAGAGACUACCCCCCGUACCUUUUGCAUCAUGAUUUAACUAGUCUAACCAAGCGAAAAGACUUUUAGUUUGACCCCCCGAAACUGAGUGAGCUACUCUAGGGCAGCUUUUUGAGCCAACCCGUCUCUGUUGCAAGAGAGUGGGAAGACCCUCGAGUAGAGGUGACAGACCUAACGAACACAGUGAUAGCUGGUUACUCAAGAAAAGAAUUUUAGUUCAGCCUAAAGUAAUCUUGUAAAAAUUAAUAUACUACUUUAGAGCAAUUCAAGUGGGGUACAGCCCACUUGAAAAAGGACACAACCUAUAACAACGGGUAACUCUCGGCCCCCCAUAAACCAAGUUGGCCUAAAAGCAGCCAUCUUAAAAAAGCGUCAAAGCUUAAUUUUUGCGUUACCUAUACCUCAAUUAAUCAAGAGCCCUUCAAUAGUACUGAGUACUUCUAUAUCCCCUAUAGAACUUUUUAUGUUAAAACUAGUAACAAGAAACACUUCUCUUUCAAUGUAAGUGUAAAUCAGUAACGGAUCAACCGCUGAUCCUCAUUCAACCUAAUUAACAGCACCCCUCCCUGAAAACCCUGUUCCCCCCCAACUGUUAACCUAACACAAGAACAUUCCAAGAAAGAUUAAACAAAAAAGAAGGAACUCGGCAAAUACUGAUCUCGCCUGUUUACCAAAAACAUCGCCUCUUGACAAAAUAAGAGGUCCAGCCUGCCCAGUGACCCAGUUAAACGGCCGCGGUACCCUGACCGUGCAAAGGUAGCGUAAUCACUUGUCUUUUAAAUAGAGACUAGUAUGAAAGGCAUCACGAGGAUCAAACUGUCUCCUUUUUUUAAUCCGUGAAACUAAUCUUCCCGUGAAGAAGCGGGAAUCCUAAUAUAAGACGAGAAGACCCUGUGGAGCUUAAGGCAAAAUAAUUAUCGCUUCUACCAACCAAAACACAUACAAAAGCACUUAAUUACUCGCCUUUGGUUGGGGCGACCGCGGAGUAAAACUCACCCUCCGCGCCAUAAAGAAAUUACCCAGCAAAGAGUCACAACUCCAGGCAUCAAUAAAUUGACACAAUUGACCCAUUAUUUGAUCAACGAACCAAGUUACCCCAGGGAUAACAGCGCAAUCUACUUCAAGAGCCCCUAUCGACAAGUGGGUUUACGACCUCGAUGUUGGAUCAGGGUGUCCCAGUGGUGCAGCCGCUACUAAAGGUUCGUUUGUUCAACGAUUAAAACCCUACGUGAUCUGAGU